rnacentral:lncRNA from 1 species
GGGCUGUUGGGUCAGAACAGAGCAGGGUUAGCCCAGCCCUGCGAGUCUGGCAGACUCAGCCCCCAAUUGGAGCUAUGUGCUAGCCCUGUGAUCCUAGACAGGUUGCUCUGCGUCUCUGAGUCUCCGCUUCCUCCUCUGUAAAAAGGAGGAUGAAAGGCUAAUAAUGUACACUCACAGAGACCAGAGACUGACAUGAUCACUGCUGUCCCCUCGGCCGCCAGCAUCACAUCUGCCACAAUAAUGAGAUACUACACCAGCAUUUUCAAAAGAAAAAGGGGGCUGGUGUCGCAGUGUGGAAGCAGGCAGGUAGUCCUUCUCCACACCAGCCAGAGGAAGUCUACUUUCAUCUAUCCCACCAGACUAGAAUCUAAGCUGCACGAAGGCAGCAUUUGGUCUCCCCUGUUUGGAUGUCACCUUCAGAGCCUGGACACUGGCAGAUACACACCAGAUGCUCAGUGCCUGAGAAAGGCCACGUGCUAAACAGGAAGCACUGAUCAGCUUCCAGGGCACUGAAACCUUUACUUUGUGGCUGAAUAAAGCAACC